GGGAGCGAGCUGGCAGAAUUGUUAGCAUGCCAGGCAAAAUGCUUAGCGCAUUUUGUCUGUCUUAUGUUCCAAGUCCAAAUUCUGCUAUGGUUGGCUUUGCCUUACAUCUUUUUCAGGGUUGAUAAAUUAAGUACCAGUGAAACACUAGGGUUGAUGUAAUUGACUAGUCCCUCCUACCAAAUUUCAGGCCUUGUGCC